CUAAUAGAUGAGCCUAAGUCGGAUUAGCUAGUUGGUGGGGUAAAGGCCUACCAAGGCGACGAUCUGUAGCGGGUCUGAGAGGAUGAUCCGCCACACUGGGACUGAGACACGGCCCAGACUCCUACGGGAGGCAGCAGUGGGGAAUAUUGGACAAUGGGGGGAACCCUGAUCCAGCCAUGCCGCGUGUGUGAAGAAGGCCUUUUGGUUGUAAAGCACUUAAGCGAGGAGGAGGAGCUCUUGGUUAAUACCCAAGAU
rnacentral:rRNA from 1 species